CGGGAAGGCAGCAGUGAGGAAUAUUGGACAAUGGAGGCAACUCUGAUCCAGCCAUGCCGCGUGCAGGAAGACUGCCCCAUGGGUUGUAAACUGCUUUUAUAUAGGAAGAAACCUUGGUACGUGUACCAAGCUGACGGUACUAUAAGAAUAAGGAUCGGCUAACUCCGUGCCAGCAGCCGCGGUAAUACGGAGGAUCCAAGCGUUAUCCGGAAUCAUUGGGUUUAAAGGGUCCGUAGGUGGAUAAUUAAGUCAGAGGUGAAAUCUUGCAGCUCAACUGUAAAAUUGCCUUUGAUACUGGUUAUCUUGAGUUAUUAUGAAGUAGUUAGAAUAUGUAGUGUAGCGGUGAAAUGCAUAGAUAUUACAUAGAAUACCAAUUGCGAAGGCAGAUUACUAAUAAUCAACUGACACUGAUGGACGAAAGCGUGGGUAGCGAACAGGAUUAGAUACCCUGAUAGUCCACGUCGUAAACGAUGGUUACUAGCUGUUUGGGCUUUAUGUCUGAGUGGCUAAGCGAAAGUGAUAAGUAACCCACCUGGGGAGUACGUUCGCAAGAAUGAAACUCAAAUGAAUUGACGG
rnacentral:rRNA from 1 species